GUCAUGUGGGGACGCACCUACAUUAGGAGGAAGCGGGCCCGCGACGUACGCCGAGCCGCCGAACGCGCAGAUCGCGCGGUGAUCGCGGCCAGGAGCGAGGCUGGCUCAAACGACGCUCGUGGCUAGCCAGGGAAGAUAGAGUUGGAUUCUAUUUUAGUUAGAGUUGGAUUCUAGAUUAAAGGAGUCUGUUUCCUAUUUUAGCUUCAGGCCACCGGCCAUAUAUAUUCAUUGUAACCCGUACAUGGGGAUUAAGGAAUAUCAAAAUCAAUCUACUCCUCUCUACCUUCUUCAACCUAAGCCCAGCAGAUCGUGAGGGGUAAAACCUCCGUCCCUGGAAGACACGGCAGGAGGCUACGAACUUCGUAGUCGAGGGCCAGCUACCCGAGGGUCUGAGGCCCUUGACAACCUGGUAUCACGUUCCCGGCGAUCCGCUCAGUCCCGGUCUUCGUCCCCGCCACGCCUGACCUCUGCAGCCGCCGCCACCCCACCACCCGCAACCGCCGUUCCAAUCUCAUCCGCCUCGUUGUCCACUGGUUUGUGCACGGCAGCCAUGGGUGAUCUCGAUGCCCUCAAGUCCACCGUGGAGAAGCUUGCUGAAGCCGUCGCGUCCCUGCAAGCUACCACGCAGGCUAAUGCCAAGACGAUGGAGGCUCAGGCUAACGCGAUCGCGGCACUCUCGGCCGAUCGUUCGUCCUCAUCAGGCAGCAAGGCCCUGUCCGGGGAACACUUCCAGGACCGGCCGCCCAAGCAUCAGAAGAUGGACUUUCCGCGUUAUGACGGCAAGUCCGACCCGCUCGCGUUCAUCAACCGAUGCGAGUCAUACUUCUUCCAGCAACGGAUCAUGGAGGAAGAGAAGACGUGGCUGGCGUCGUAUAACCUCGUCGACGGCGCCCAGAUGUGGUACAUCCAGGUCCAGACGGACGAAGGCACACCGUCCUGGCGCCGUUUCAAGGAAUUGAUCAACCUGCGGUACGGACCGCCGCUACGUUCUGCGCCUCUCUUCGAGCUGGCGGACUGCCGUCGCACGGGGACCGUCAAGGAGUACCAGGAACGUUUUCAGGCGCUCCUGCCCCGAGCCGGCCGACUGGACGAAAUCCAGCGUGUCCAACUCUUCACCGGCGGGCUCCUCCCUCCGCUCAGCCUCGCCGUACAGGUCCAGAACCCGCAAUCCCUUGCGGCAGCAAUGAGUCUCGCUCGGCAGCUGGAGCUCAUGGAGCAGUACCAGCCCACGCCGGCCAAGGCUGCCCCUCGCGCCAUCCUGCCGGCACCACCGCCGCGCCAGGCCGCACCCCAGCCAACGGCGCCCAAGGCACCCACGCCUACGGUCACCAUCGAGGGGCGUCCGGUGAAGCGUCUCACCCAGACGGAACAGGAGGAAUGGCGCCGCCUCGGCCUAUGCUAUAACUGCGAUGAGAAGUACGGGCGGGGCCACAACCGGGUCUGCAAAAAGCUCUUCGUCCUCGACAGCAUCGAAGAAGACGACGACGCCGCUGCCGAGGGCAGUGCCGACGGCCCCGCCGGGGCGGACGCGCUGGUGUUCUCUUUGCAUGCCGUGGCGGGCGUCCGCGUUGGCAAGACCAUCCAAGUCCGGGUCCAGCUGGGCUCCGAGGUCCUCACGGCCCUCCUCGACACCGGAUCGACGCAUAAUUUCAUCUCGGAGGCUGCUGCAGUCCAAACCGGCCUGCCACCGCAACAACGACCACGUCUCACGGCCAUGGUGGCCAACGGGGAGCGCAUCUCCUGCCCUGGAGUGCUGCGGCAGGUGCCGAUCACCAUCCAGGGUGCACGCUUCAAUGUCGACCUGUAUAUAAUGCCACUGGCAGCCUACGACAUGGUUCUGGGGACGCUCUGGAUGGAGACAUUGGGGCCGAUCGUGUGGGAUCUUUCUGCCCGCACCCUGUCCUUCCAGCGCUAGGGGCGUGAGGUCUGCUGGACGGGCGUGCCUUCGGCGGACGAGCCGUGCGUCCAGUCUGCUACGGCCACCCCCUCCCUCCUCGAUGAGCUGCUCUCCGCGUUCUCAGAUGUCUUCGCCGAGCCAGUCGGUUUGCCCCCGCCAAGAGGCCGUGAGCACACCAUUAUCUUGAAGCCCGACGCGCAGCCGGUCGCGGUUCGCCCUUACCGCUACCCGGCGUCCCACAAGGAUGAGUUGGAGCGGCAGUGUGCCGCUAUGAUGGAGCAGGGCGUCGUUCGCCGCAGCACUUCGGCGUUCUCGUCGCCGGUCCUCCUCGUCAAGAAGGCCGACGGGACGUGGCGCUUUUGCGUGGACUAUCGCGCCCUCAACGCCCUCACCAUUAAGGACGCGUUCCCCAUUCCGGUGGUGGACGAACUGCUCGACGAGCUGCACGGCGCGCGGUUCUUCAGCAAGUUGGACCUGCGAUCGGGCUAUCACCAAGUCCGCAUGCGGGCGGAAGACAUACACAAGACGGCGUUCCACACUCACGAUGGGCUCUACGAGUUCCUUGUGAUGCCGUUCGGGCUGUGCAACGCCCCGGCGACAUUUCAGGCGCUCAUGAACGAUGUGCUCCGCCCCUACCUGCGCCGGUUUGUCUUGGUUUUCUUUGACGAUAUACUUAUCUACAGCAGGACAUGGGCCGAUCAUCUUCGUCAUCUUCGCACCGUCCUCGCCCUCCUCCGUCUCCAUCGCCUCUUCAUCAAGCGAUCCAAGUGCGCGUUCGGUGUCACGGCUGUGGCGUACCUCGGCCACAUCAUCUCCGAAGCGGGCGUGGCUAUGGAUCCGGCCAAGGUGCAGGCCAUCCAUGACUGGCCAGUACCCCGGUCCGCUCGUGCCGUGCGAGGCUUCCUCGGCUUGGCGGGCUACUACCGGAAGUUCGUCGCCAACUACGGGGCCGUCGCCGCGCCUCUGACAGCCCUCCUCAAAAAGGAUGGCUUCUCGUGGACUGACACCGCGGCCUCCGCCUUCGCCGAUCUCAAGGCCGCGGUCACGUCCGCCCCUGUGUUGGCUAUGCCCGACUUCGACAAGGGCUUCGUCGUCGAGUGUGAUGCCUCGACGCAUGGGUUUGGCGCCGUUCUCAUCCAGGAGGGCCACCCGCUCGCCUACUUCAGCAGACCCGUCACCCCCCGACACCGCUCUCUCGCUGCCUAUGAGAGGGAACUGAUCGGCCUCGUCCACGCCGUUCGUCAUUGGAGGCCCUAUUUGUGGGGACGCCGUUUCGUCGUCAAGACUGAUCAUUAUAGCCUCAAGUACCUGCUGGACCAGCGGCUCUCGACGAUUCCACAACACCAUUGGGUGGGAAAGCUGUUGGGCUUUGACUUCACGGUGGAAUACAAGCCUGGCGCGGCGAACACGGUGGUUGACGCGCUCUCACGCCGCGACACGGACACGGGGGCCGUACUGGCAAUCUCGGCGCCACGGUUUGAUUUCGUCGAGCGUCUCCGUCAAGCUCAAGCUGCUGACCCGACCUUAGUGGCCAUUCAUGAUGAAAUUCGCGCAGGUACUCGUGGCGAGCCGUGGAAGGUCGUGGAUGGCGUACUCCAGUUCCGUGGCCGCCUCUACCUUCCACCUGCGUCCCCGUUCGUCCAGGAGAUCAUAGCGGCUAUUCACGACGACGGGCAUGAGGGAGUGCAGCGCACGCUUCAUCGUCUUCGCCGCGACGUCCACUUUCCCGACAUGCGCCGCCUCGUGCAGGAUUUCGUGCGCGCGUGCGAUACGUGCCAACGCUACAAGUCCGAGCAUCUCCAUCCGGCCGGACUGCUGCUGCCCCUGCCGGUGCCGCAAGGUGUUUGGACUGACAUUGGUCUGGACUUCGUGGAGGCCUUGCCGCGUGUCCGUGGGAAGUCCGUGAUCCUCACUGUGGUGGACAGGUUCAGCAAAUAUUGCCACUUCAUUCCCAUGGCCCACCCCUACACCACCGAAUCCAUCGCACAAGCUUUCUUCACCGACAUCGUCAGGCUGCACGGCGUACCGCAGUCCAUGGUGUCCGACCGCGACCCAAUAUUCACCUCCACGUUCUGGAAGGAACUCAUGCGGCUCAUGGGUACUAAGUUACAUAUGACGACCGCUUUCCACCCUCAGGCCGACGGGCAGACAGAGGCGGCCAACCGCGUCAUCGUCAUGUAUCUUCGCUGCUUCACCGGCGAUCGUCCUCGACAGUGGGUCCGCUGGCUCCCUUGGGCGGAGUACGUUUACAACACCGCCUACCAAACAUCGUUGCGGGACACGCCUUUCAGGGUGGUCUAUGGUCGUGAUCCGCCCACCAUCCGGUCCUAUGAGCCAGGCGAGACUCGUGUGCCUGCUGUCGCCCGCACCAUGGCGGAACGUGAGGAAUUCUUGGCAGAUGUCCACUACCGCCUGGAGCAAGCACAGGCCCUCCAGAAAAAAUACUACGACAAGGAUCAUCGUCCAGUUUCAUAUGUUGUGGGCGACUUUGUGCUCCUUCGCCUUCGUCAUCGCGCUCCAGCUUCGCUGCCUCAGGUCACCAAGGGCAAGUUGAAGCCCCGCUUUUUCGGGCCGUAUCGUGUCGUCGAGCUGAUCAACCCCGUCGCCGUCCGUCUCGAGUUGCCUCCACGCGCCAAGCUUCAUGAUGUGUUCCACGUCAGUCUUCUCAAGAAGUAUGUUGGACAUACUCCGGCUGCACCACCCGUCCUGCCGGCCAUCCAUCACGGCGCGGUCGAGCCCGAGCCCGAGCGUGUGAUGCGCGCGCGCCUGGCCCGGGGAGUUCAGCAGGUGCUCGUUCAUUGGAAGGGGGAGACUGCAGCUUCAGCUACUUGGGAGGAUCUUGACACUUUCCGCGAGCGCUAUCCAGCGUUCCAGCUCGAGGACGAGCUGGCCCUCGAGGGGGGGAGAGAUGUCAUGUGGGGACGCACCUACAUUAGGAGGAAGCGGGCCCGCGACGUACGCCGAGCCGCCGAACGCGCAGAUCGCGCGGUGAUCGCGGCCAGGAGCGAGGCUGGCUCAAACGACGCUCGUGGCUAGCCAGGGAAGAUAGAGUUGGAUUCUAUUUUAGUUAGAGUUGGAUUCUAGAUUAAAGGAGUCUGUUUCCUAUUUUAGCUUCAGGCCACCGGCCAUAUAUAUUCAUUGUAACCCGUACAUGGGGAUUAAGGAAUAUCAAAAUCAAUCUACUCCUCUCUACCUUCUUCAACCUAAGCCCAGCAGAUCGUGAGGGGUAAAACCUCCGUCCCUGGAAGACACGGCAGGAGGCUACGAACUUCGUAGUCGAGGGCCAGCUACCCGAGGGUCUGAGGCCCUUGAC
rnacentral:lncRNA from 1 species